GCAAACUUGGUCAUUUAGAGGAAGUAAAAGUCGUAACAAGGUUUCCGUAGGUGAACCUGCGGAAGGAUCAUUACUGAAAUGAUUUUCGGGGGAUGUUGGCUGGCCUCUUUCCUGAGGCAAUGUGCACUCCCCAGAAACAAUUCACAAUCUCCAUCACACCCUUGUGCACAUCCUGUAGGUGGCCCCAUUUGACCUGCUUGGUUCUUUGGGUGUUGUCCUAUGUACCCUAACCAUGUAACACAUGUUGUUUGAAUGUAUCUGUGAAAUAUCAAAAAACAAACAAACAAAACAACUUUCAACAAUGGAUCUCUUGGCUCUCGCAUCGAUGAAGAACGCAGC
rnacentral:misc_RNA from 1 species